rnacentral:rRNA from 1 species
UAGGGAAUCUUCCGCAAUGGGCGAAAGCCUGACGGAGCAACGCCGCGUGAGUGAUGAAGGUCUUCGGAUCGUAAAACUCUGUUAUUAGGGAAGAACAAAUGUGUAAGUAACUAUGCACGUCUUGACGGUACCUAAUCAGAAAGCCACGGCUAACUACGUGCCAGCAGCCGCGGUAAUACGUAGGUGGCAAGCGUUAUCCGGAAUUAUUGGGCGUAAAGCGCGCGUAGGCGGUUUUUUAAGUCUGAUGUGAAAGCCCCCGGCUCAACCGGGGAGGGUCAUUGGAAACUGGUUGACUUGAGUGCAGAAGAGGAGAGUGGAAUUCCGUGUGUAGAGGUGAAAUGCGUAGAUAUAUGGAGGAACACCAGUGGCGAAGGCGACUCUCUGGUCUGUAACUGACGCUGAGGCUCGAAAGCGUGGGUAGCAAACAGG